CUAAACCACUCAGCGAGGCACGGGGAGGGAGUGGAGGUAACGCGCCCUUCCAGCGAAUACUUAACUAUCGUAAGCAUUCAUAACAAGUGAUCCCAUCUUUCAUAUGAACUAUUUUCUAAAACUGACCUGCUUGAGUUAGAAGAAGAGGUUCUUAUCUCCCAAGUACCCUGUCACAGUGUCCCUUCUCUUAAGUGAUUAAGGAAAGAAAGCCCUCUCACCCAGCUGAAUCUCACUCUGGGAUGCUAAACAAAGGAACACACUGAAAUAUUGGUGUCAUCCUGGACAUGGACGGAAAAUGGCCCUUGCUAGACAAGUACAAGCUCAAUAAAAUUGCUCAAGACCUGCAAAUUCACUACCUGUGGUCCAGAGCCACAGGAAAAUGCCAGCUCCCUUUGGUUCAGUGGUUCAUAAGCUUUUUUGGGGUUUGAAGAAAGCUAUGGAUCUCUCCCUAGAAACAUGCACCACAUACACUCAUACACACAUAAUUCUAUGUAUAAUUUCUAAAGUUUCAACCAUAUACUACAAGAAUCCUUUCUAGUAUCUCUCAUAAAUUUAAAUUCACAUUCCCUAGUACUCUGCAGUCCCACCUCUAGAAUUCAUUCUAAAGAAAUAGUAGCAUUUGAUGUGUAAAUGUGUUGUGUGUAUUUAUAUUAGCAUUGUUUAUAAUAGCAAAAAUAUAAAAACAGCUUAAAUUGAUACUAAUGGGAAAUUAAAGCAUUAUUAAUUUAAUUGAUUCAUAAUGGACUAUUUUGCAGCUAUUAGAGAAUGGGGUAGAACUAUCUGUACUGACUGAAAAUAGGUCUAUGAUAUUCUGCUGUUUAAAA